AGGGGCAGUGGUCCCCAUCCCCGUCGCCGUCCCGCGGUCUGCGAGGCAAAAGCCAGCGCCUCACCGUCGGGGGCGGUGGCCCCUGCUGAUCCACCUUCCUUGAUUUACACGAUCGCAAGGAGCCUACUGGCUAGACGCGAGGCCAAGCAAACGGGCGAGCGAGCUCCUUGAUUUCCCGGUUCCCGUUGCCCUCGACAUGGCUCCACAGGCAUUGAUGGUGGGGGAGAAUGGAGAGGACCUCGAGGGGCCCAAGGAGUUGCUGCCCCUCUCCAAGCUCGAAGACAAGCCUAAGGAUGUGGAGGAGUAGUGGUGCUAUGGAUUCACGACCUUAUUUCUAUCUUGGAGAUCUGUAGUAGUUCUUCAGGGAAUGGAGUGCUUAUGGGGCCGGUAUUCCAUUGGUGUUAAAUGGCAGUGACUCUGUGAUAUUGUAUUAUGUGCCAUGUUGUCUAGAAAAUUCCCAUUGGAUUAGAACCUUCACAGGUUAACCUGUCUAGCAGAAUAGCUUCAAUUGUCUGUGUCUUUUCUUAUGCUUCAA